GAUGAACGCUGGCGGCGUGCCUAAUACAUGCAAGUCGAGCGAACGGACGAGAAGCUUGCUUCUCUGAUGUUAGCGGCGGACGGGUGAGUAACACGUGUAUAACCUACCUAUAAUACGGGUAUAACUUCGGGAAACCGGAGCUAAUACCGGAUAAUAUUUUGAACCGCAUGGUUCAAAAGUGAAAGACGGUCUUGCUGUCUCUUCUAGAUGGAUCCGGGCUGCAUUAGAUAGUUGUUAAGGUAACGGCUUACCACGGCUACGAUGCAUAGCCGACGGGAGAGGGGGGUAGGCGGCAUGGGAGCGGAGCCAGGGACCAGAGUACUGCGGGAGGGAGCAGUAGGGUACCUGAGGCAGUGGGGGAAAACCUGACGGAACAACGGCGCGUGUGUGAUGAAGACGUUGGGAUCGUAAAGCUGUGUUAUGAGGGAAGAACAGAUGUGUAAGGAACUGUGCCCAGAUUGACGGUACCGAAUCAGAAAGCCACGGCUAACUACGUG
rnacentral:rRNA from 1 species